UCUUCUUCUUCUUCUUCUUCUUGGUUAUUUUUCUAUUAUUUUCAGUUAUAUUGUUUCUCUCUCCUUUUCUGCUACUUUUUUCCUGGUAUUUUUGUGUGCUGAGAUGUUAACAAGACCCAGCACGUAAGGAGAGCUUUUUAAUGCUGGUUCAUCUGAUUUAGUUUGACAGUGAAAUUAAAGGCAAAAUGUCCUACUUUCCACUUUGGCAGGGUGCUAGCAGAUGGUCAUGUA
rnacentral:misc_RNA from 1 species